GGAAGGGUGGCUGAGCGGCUGAAGGCGGCGGUUUGCUAAACCGUUAUACGAUCAAAAGUCGUAUCGAGGGUUCGAAUCCCUCUCCUUCCG
rnacentral:tRNA from 3 species